CCCCGCUCUCUUCUCAGAGCGGCCAUGUUGGCGUUGGCGACGACGAUGAUGGCUUCGGCGUCGUUCGUAGUGCCCCGUCUGCAGGAGAAGAAGCCGGGUCAAAAUGUUGCACCCAGCACCGGUCAUAAUCACACUCUGCCACCCAGCAGGCCAGCAGCGAUCAGGACUGUCUAAAGAGGAUUUGGGGGGCCCCAGGAGGUGUGGAGGCCCUGGACAUCGGCCCCAAAGGCCAGGGGUUCGGCUGGAGCAAAACGUCUAACCACCAAGCCCUGAAGCUUUUGUAGCACCUGACAAAAGAGCCAUUAUGGUCCGGUGGAAGGCUUGGCUUGAAAUUGAGCACUUGGCGGAUUGCAAGCAAAAGCUGCAAAUGGAUGUUGGAGGAUUGUCACCCAAGUAAGGGGCAUCCACAGAGUCAAACUCUGUGUCUGAUCCUGGUAUUGUGGGUAAGAAUUUUUGUUCUACACACACACACACAUACAUAGUGGGAUCCUAUGAAUUCUUUCUUAGAAGUCUCACUGUGUCCAAUGGGGCUUACUUCCCAGCGAGUGUAUUUUCUACUACUACUAUGAAUAUGUAUAUACCGCUCUUCAGCCAAAGUUCUCAAAGCGGUUUACAUAGAUAUAAAUACAUAAGAUGGUACCCUGUCUCCAAAGGGCUCACAAUCUAAAAAUAAACAUAAAGGUAGACACCAGCAACAGCCACUGCAGGGAUGCUGAGCUGGGGAUGGAUAGGGCCAGUUGCUCUCCCCCUGCUAAAUAAAGAGAAUCACCACUUUUAAAAAGGUGCCUAUUUGCUCAGUUAAUAGAGGCAUUUGGUAUUUAGGAUUAGAUUGUUGUUCCCCACACCUUACAUAUUUUUGUAUGCUCUUUAAUACUGAAUAUAUGUUUGGGAGGAGUGAUAGAAGCCACCGAUAGAUCACUCCUCCAUGUAAAAAAUUGCAUACAUGCUGAGCCAGUUAAUGGUGGAUGAACUACUCGGUAAUUCAUUGCUCAUCAGCUGUGCAAUAUUUUGUUACAGUCUAAACCAGGGUACCCUACCUUUUGGCACUCAAGCUAUUGUCGAACUGCAGCUCCCAUCGUUCCUAUUCUGAAUGCAGGCUUGCAAGAUAAAUCCAGGCCAAAGUUACUAGCCAGCCUGUCUAGACAUGUCUAGUCACUGGUGGCCCAUAUUUUGGGUCUGGAAAAGCAGGGUGAGCAGUUUCAGUUUAUAGGUGUCUUCAGAUGAGUGGCUAGACAAGAGCUUUAAAAUAAAGAAUUGCAUUUUAAUUUUACUUAAGUGCAUAAUACUUACUUGUUAGAUCUUCAUUCUCUUUCACAGACGACCAGGGAAGAAGAUGACGUGGUUGUGACUACAGCCUGGCUUUCUAACACAUCUGACUGGAAAUCUGUGAUCCAGGGUUAUUUGCCAUUUCUGAACCAACCAGAUCAUGCUGUGUGUUCCACUCAGCACUUAAUUUAAUGGGAAUUGUAGUGGCAGAUUAUGUAAUAGUUUAUCACAGCUGGCUGUUAACAAAAAAAAGAGUGUGUGUAGUAUUCAGAACUCAUCUACAGACCAGGUUUAUUCUUCUUCAGUCCCUUCCUCCUAUGGUGCAUUGAAACAUUUAAAAAAAAGUUUUAUUGAGGGCUUUAAAAUCUAGCUAGGUUAGGAUGUUCUUUUCUCAGUGAGAGAACAUCCUGUUUUUAAGACGCUUCUAAUUAAAUCUGACCUUCUAACUGCAGCUGCAAUCCAUUCGUAGGUAAAAGUGGUAAGUAUUCUGGAAGCAGUAGCCGUGUUUUGUUUUUCACCUGAAAUAACAUCUUUCAGAAUUUCACUGCAUGUGGCCAAAGGAUUGUUGCAGACAAAUUAGAAAGUGCUUUUUACAGAUGAAACUGCUUUGUACUGAGUUGACCUAUUGGUCUGCCUGGCCCAGUAUUGUCUACUCCCUGGGUAUUGGCCAAAGGUAUUGGGUAAAGGCUGUUCCCUACCCUCCUAUGUAUCUCCUAGUGGAAAUGCCAGCGACCAAACCUGAGAUUUUGUGCAUGCAAAGCUAGUACUUGGUUACUGAGCUCCUGAAAAUGUAGGGUAUUGCUUCAUGGCACACUACAAAGUAACGCAUGCCAGUAAGGCAGACUUUUGCCCUAAGGGAUUUGAAAUUAAACUUAAACACCAAAACGAAGGCUGAUGUGGGGGUGAAUUUAAGCAAAGAAUUUGUACUGUCGGCAACUGAACAUUUGAAGCUGUAUUAUCCAGAGUCGAUUGGUCCAUCUAGCACAGUAUUAUCUACACCACAGGUUUGCAAAUUAGUAUCCCUGGUGGUGUUGAACUACAGUUUCCAUCAUUCCAAAUUGGGGAUGAUAGGAGUUGUAGUUCAAUAACAUUCCGUAGCUUAGUUUGCAAACAACUGGUCUACGACGGUGGACAAAGGCUCUCUAGAGUUUCAGAGGGGAGUUUUGCUCAGCCCUGCCUGGAAAUUCCAGGGACAAAAUCUGGCACUUUCUAUGUGUAAAGCAGGUGGUCAGCUACAGCCCCUUCCCAACAGGGCCAUUGGCCAAAUCUGACUCCUGAAGGAAUAUCUGCGCUCCCACCCCACUCCAGAGACAAGAGAAGCAUAUUGCUGCUGCUGCUGCCCCAGUGAUCUGCUGCCUGAGGUGACUGCUUCACUUCAUGGAAGGGCCACCGCUGUUCCCAGUAGGCAUUCUGGGAAACAAACAAAAGCCACCAACCAGAGCAGGAGUUCUCAGCCUUGGGUCCCCAAGGUGGUUGAUGGACUUCAACUCCCACAAUCCCCAACCAAAGACCAUUGGGGCUGGGGAUUGUGGGAGCUGGUCCAAUAACAUCUGGGGACCCAAGAUUCAAGGUCUGAAUCCCUGAUCCAGAGGACCCAUACCACCCCUGCAGAACCUUUCUCCCCUUUCUUUGGCAUUGUGGCUUGGGCUGAUGGGAGUCAAGGCCCAACAUCAUCUGGUGACCCAAGGUUGGGAACCCCUGACUUAAGUGUGUCAUUUACUGUAUUUUAGGAAAUUGAUAUUUCUAACUUUCUAGUCGGCUUCUCUGUUAUUUGUACCACAAUUAGACAGCUCAAGAGCAGGGGCGUAACAAGCCUGGAGUGGGCCCAGAGACAAAAUUUUAAAAUGGGCCCCUCGCUGAUGCACACACACACUUCACAAUAUAUAGUCAUGUGACUCGCCUCUGGGGGGCCCCUCGAGGUGUGGGGGCCCCUAGGCAGCCGCCUCCCCUUGCCUAAUGGUAGUUACGCCCCUGCUCAAGAGUAUAAUAGGCUUCUCUGUCCAUACUUUUAUCUGGAAUCUUCAGGUGAGUUGUUUGUGCCCUGUGUGAAUGUUUGUUCUUCUGAAUCUAUACUUUUCAAUGCUUUUAGCUAUUACUCCUUGGAAAUGGACAAUGUGUUCAAUCUGAUUUCCUAAAUCUAAUUUCCUGAUGUGCUUUUCUCCCCAGCCUUUACUUCAUAAUAGCAUUUAAAAAAAAAAAAUUGGCCCUAUACUAUUGAUGUUGCUUCUGCAGACUUGAAAAAUGGUAAUGUGCUUACCUGAUUGGCUACUUGUGAAAGAACACAAACUGGACUGAGAUGAAAACAGAUGGAGAAAAACAACCCACUAUACCUGUUAUGCAGAGUUAAUUUCUGCCUGUGUAACUAAUUUGAUCCUGCAAGUGGGCUGGUUUUGACCAGAGGUGACAGAUCUGGAUUACCAUGUGCAACAUAAGCAACUAGGGUUGAUAUUCUUCAGCCAUUAGCAUUCCUGGGGCUGGAGUUAAUGGAUUCAUGUGUCAUUUUUCAGAAGCUUGAUGGUGCUUUCCACACACUGGUUAGCCUUUUACUUGUGAAAAACUUCAGCUGAGUUGCACUUGACAGGCAUCACUUGAAGGCCUGUUACUGGCUUCACUGUAGACCUGGGUUCUCAAAUCCCCACAUGCUUUUGGACUACAGCUCCCAUCAUCCCAAAGGCCACUGCAGCUGGGGAUGAUGGGAGUUGUUGUCCAACCCCUGGUUUAGAGCAUGUUGCACUGAUGGAUGACCGGGUUUAAGUCUUGCUUAAGACUAGUAUAGAUGUGACACCUCAGCAGUUGAGGCCGUGGGAGGCAGGCUGUGACGUAAGAUGCAAAUUCAGCCAGGUAGCUUUAGUUGUGAGAGGAACACAUGAGAGGCCUAAGAGGAGAUGAGUGAAUGGCUACAUGAAACACACAACCCCCCCCUUUAAAAAGCCGCCUCCAACCCAUCAUUCUGCUCCGGACUGUCCCAACAAGCUCACCUCAGGCUGAAAUUCCACAUACGUUUCCAAGGACAGAUUCUCUCACUGUUGGGGAAGAAGUGAUUGAGAGCAAGGAACUAAACUGCCUGGAGACCUGCGUUUUGGGUGGUAUACAAAUGUUAAAUGCCCUCCUACAGCUUCAUUCCCAAUUCUCACUCUUGAAGUGACUAUAUGCAAAGUCAGCCCAUAUGCUUGCUUUAGAUUUGCGGCACCCAACCUGUAGUUUGAACCUCUGCAGGUACAUUAGAAGUGAGCCAUAAACUGGCUUGCAGCGAAGGUGGAAGUGAAUGCAAAGGAGGUGGGUGGGACACGUGAUGCCAGCAACCUGUUGUACAGCCAGGUCCUCUCGUUCCUAUAUUAUGGGAGGAACAGGCUGAUGGUGGGGGAUACAUAGACAACCCUCGGAGCGAUGGGAGGCCAGCAUUCAAAGGGAGGUAUCCCACUAUUGCAUCAUUUUCUUUAGAGCACAGGUUACAAAUCUUGGAUACCCAAGCUUCUUGAGCUACUCUUCCCAUCAUCCCCACAGGGGGCAUGGGGCCAUAAUCGCAAGGCAGAGCACCCGCUUUGCGUGCAGAAGAUCCCAGUUUCAGUCCUUGGCAUCUCUAGAUAGCACUGAGAAAGACACUUGCCUGAAACUGAAGAGCAGCUGCCAGUCACUAGACGAUACUGAUCUAGGUGAAUUAAUGGUCUGGCUCAGUAUGAGACAGCUUCCUAUGUUUCUAGUGGCCAGAGGCUGUUGUAGCAUCUGGGAUCCGCUUUAGAGGAGAGCUUGUAUAUAUGCGCAUCACUGCCCUGCCACCAUUGGGUCAGGUGGAACGUUGUGAAACCAGCUGUUCUCUCCCCGCCCACCAGCUGCACGUUCUACAUUUCAGGUUUAUGCACAGUCAUCCCUUGCCAACCGCUGGGGUUCCGUUCUGGCAAAACCUCACCAUUGGCAAAUUCACGGUUGGCGAGGCAUUGAAGUCUGGGAAACGACGGGUCAGGGGAGCCAUGGCCACAAAAAGACCUAAAAAUAAAGGGGCAAGUAAUAACCCCCCCCCCCCAAAAAGUCCUGUAAUGUCACCAAGAACAAGCAGAUCAACUCUAUGGAGAUUUUAAAAAAAUACUCAAAAGGCAUUUUAAAUUGGCAAAGGUCAGCCAGAGGAAUGAGCAGAUUGAACCCCCUAAAAUCACUUAAAAAAAAAAAAAAAACACCUUGCCAACUGUGGAUACUUGGGCUGUGGUUGGCAGGACCUGUCACAAUUUCCUAUUUGCACAUACAGUUGGUAAAACAAUAGUUGGCAAGGGAUGAUGGCAAAAUACAUCAUGGCCUGCCCUGUUUGUAUUUGAAUGGGAGAGUGCAUUUGUGAGCACUGUAAGAUAUCCCACUUGGGGUGGGGCUGCCCUGGGAAGAGCACUUGCCUGCAGAAAGUUCCAAGUUCCCUCUCUGGCAUCUCCAAGAUGGGGCUGAGAGAGACUCCUACCUGCAACGUCUGAGAAGCCACUGCCAGUCUGUGUACACAGUACAGUCACAAGAACAGCCCUGCUGGAUCAGGCCCAAGGCCCAUCUAGUCGAGCAUCCUGUUUCACACAGCUGGAAGCCUAAGUGCAGGAGUUGAGGGGAUGCCCUCUCUCCUGCUGUUACUCCCCUGCAACUGGUACCGGAGAGGCAUCCUGCCUUAGA